GUAGUACAGACAACGAAAAAAACCAUCUUCUUCUGUCUGUCCAUAUAAUCCAUGUACGUAUCAUGCAAGAACCUCACAUUCUUUCAAUGAAACUCUCGCGCUUUCUCUUCGUCCUCCUUCUCUCCCUCUCUCUUUUCCUCUCUGCCACCUCCCAUGGCGGCAGUGAUGAUGAUGACAAGGGUGCAGGUGAAAGCAAUGAGCCUCCUCAUAGCCUACGUUCCAAAUCCUUGGUCUCGGUCAAGAUAUGGUGCUUGAUUCUCGUGUUUGUAUGGACCUUCAUCGGUGGGGUGUCACCAUAUUUCCUGAAAUGGAACCAGGGUUUUCUGGUAUUGGGAACUCAGUUUGCUGGUGGGGUUUUCCUGGGGACUGCCAUGAUGCAUUUCUUGAGCGAUGCCAAUGAAACCUUUGAGCGUUUGACGAGUAAAGAAUACCCUUUUGCGUUUAUGUUGGCCUGUGCUGGAUAUUUGUUGACCAUGGUGGCUGAUUGUGUGGUUUCUUAUGUGUACGGGAAGGACAAGAGUUCAUCUAAUCAUGGUGAUUUGGAACUUCAAGGUAAGAAACUGUUUCCUGUAUUUUUUUGUUUGAGUUAAAAAAUUCCGGUAAAGAAAAAGAGGUCUACCUUUGUUUGGUUGCUGAGGCAAGGAGAGAAGAAAUUCAAAGUUAAUGACUGUUAAACAUAAUCCAGAUAUAGCUGUUAGGUGAGACAAGCAAAGGCCCAUAGUUUUGUUGGUUUCACAUGUCAUGUCUUGUUUAUUUAUUACUUGUUAAAGAAAUGGUUUAAGGAAAGGAAAAAGAAUAUGAGCAACAGUGUUUGGUCGCUGUGAAAAUUUGGGAAAAAGAUAAGUUGUUUCUGCUCGAAAUUUUCUUGGUAAAGACUUUGGGACUAAGAAUGGUUUCUGAAUGGUUUAAUGCUGUUGUUGAGUAAUAAAUUAUCUUAGUCCGGCAAAGUCGCAAAGACUAGUGCUUUUAUGGUGAUCCUGGCGGUUGAACUGUUACAAUGAGAGCUGUAACAGGGACAAUCAAAUCACAGUUUCACUUUCUUACCUCGUACAUGUCUUGUCUAAACUGCAGGGCCCGAGCAGACCAAUAGUAAUCCUCAUGGUCAUGGCAAUCCGCCGGUGAGCUAUGUAUGGUCUUUUUCUUACAGAAAUUAUUCCUGAGACUUGGUUUCUGUUGAUGUUUGAUGGCCUUGUUCGCUUUUGUAGGGUGGCAAUGGCACUGAUACCACCAGCGCGCGGUCCUUAUCACUCACAACUGUGAGUUCCUUUGGAGACAGUGUUUUGUUGAUCGUUGCCUUGUGCUGCCAUUCAGUCUUUGAGGGCGUCGCUAUCGGAGUUGCAAAGACAGAAGCCGCUGCCUGGAAAGCAUUGUGGACGAUCUCCUUGCACAAGAUAUUUGCAGCAAUUGCAAUGGGAAUAGCACUGCUCCGGAUGAUCCCUGAUUAUCCCCUGUUGUCUUGUGUAGCCUACGCUUUUGCAUUCGCCAUUUCGAGUCCUAUCUGGGUGGCCAUCGGGAUCCUAAUCGAUGCCACGAUUGAGGGUGUCGUGGCUGAUUGGAUCUUCGCCAUAUUGAUGGGUUUAGCAUGUGGAGUGUUCAUCAACGUAUCAAUAAACCAUCUGCUAUCAAAAGGUUACACUCCCCAGAAGACAAUUUCAGUUGACACACCCCAUCACAAGGUUUUGGCUGUCUUGUUAGGUGUUGGAGUGAUUGCUGUUGCGAUGAUCUGGGACACUUGAUAGCUAUUGUAACUUGGGUACCGUCUGAGUUUUGGUUUGCUAAAGUUUAAAGGGAUUAGGUUUUCUCUAGUAUCUGUCAUAGUUGCUUGAUCACAUGCUUCAUUCUAUUGGUCCAUAGAACUAUAAUUCUUCUCCAUGGAAAAAGAAAAAUCUAUAAGUUGUCUUUAUCAUAUAUUUAUACCUUUGAUGGACAUAUUUUCGGAAUCUAAUAUGGAAUCAUGGAUCAAAGUUAGGGAAUUUCUGGACAAGUGGUAUCUGCUAAAACUAGAUUUCAUGCUGACUAUUGUAAUGGGAUUCUUGUGAUAGGGAAAAGAAGCGUUGCAAACAAGUAAAAGAAUGCGUCGGAGGUGGCAGAUAGAAAGAUUGGAGCAGUUCCUGAAGUACUAAGUGUAAUGACAAGUAGAAUAAAGUAAAAAGAGAAUUCAAGAGUAAAAAAAAAUUAGAGAGAGAAUUUAGAGAGAGAAGCUUUCAAGCUGAGAAUGUGUUAGCUCAGAAGGGGAGAGAAAAGCCCAUCUAAAUGACUUGUGAAGCUCUAUACAUAGUGUUAAAAGUGACGGUUACUCAAAAAUAAGUUUUAAUGCGCCUAAUAAAUGAUAUUAUUAUGAACAUUAAUGUGAGUAAUCGUUACUGUAAUUGAAUGUAAUAAGACUUGUUCUCAAGCAAAAGGUAAUAGAAAAAAAGUAUAUAAAAAUAGAUACAAAAGAAAAAGUUAUACGAGAAUAAAUACAAGAGAAAAAGCUGUACAUGAAUAAGUGUACGAGAACAAGGUAAUAGGGUGAAAUGCUUGUACUUCAGGAAAGGAUUAAGAGGAAGACCUCUUAACUACCUCCAUAUCUGAGUUACCAAGUUAAAUUCUUCGAAACAUCCCAAGAUGAAAGUAUAAGUCAAACUCUCCGAAACAUCUCAAAAUGAAAGUAAUCCAUGAACCAUGCCACUUAUUCCGAGUUACUUUCACUGUCACCAAAGUGAAGUGAUUAUUCUAUUCAAAAUAACUGUUAUACUUGUAUUAGUUAUUCCAUAUGGAGCAGUACUUUACUUAUUCUAAUUGUUCUGCUUUAACUAGUACUCCACUUGUUCUAAUUGUUUUGCGUGAAGUAACGCUUCACUUGUUCUAAUAGCACUUCAUUUGUUCAAGUUGUUCUCCGUAUAAUAUUAUAUUGUAAUAUAAUUUUUUAGAGUAACAGUAUUAAUCAAAAUCAAGUAUAUAAAAUUUGUCAAAAUCAAUUGAAGAGCAUAAAAAAAAAUGAAGAACAGAGGAACUACAAGCAGAUGUUUUUCAUGAAAAAAAAUAGGGGUUCAAAAACUCUCAUGUUCAUCCUACUAUUGACUGUAUUUAUAUGAACACUUACAUCAGAUCUGAAAUACUCGGUAUUGGAAAAAGAAAUAAGAGGAAAAAACAGCUGUGCACAGGAUACCACAAAUGGGUUUCUGUGCAUUUCAACAGCCACAGCAACAGCAAACCAGAAAUAACAAGAAUACCAGGCAAAUAAAAAAAAACAUGAAAAAAACAUGUGGCUUUCUCAACCUUACAGACCAAAUGAAACGACUUACCAACGCACCGUUUAAUCAAAAUAAAAGAAACACUAAUAAGUGAUAAAAAGUCAAGCUGAUUUUCAUUUCAUUAGCUCUUGAACUGUUGGUUGAAAAUGACAUUGUGUCUAUCUUCUUCCUUUCUUCAGCUGCUUUGAAAUUGUGCCCAGACUCAUCUUCUUCUCUUUUAUCAGAUGGAAUUACUCAACACUCAACAAUCUACAACUAUAAUACAUGAAUCAUGUUAAGCACGACUACUUCAUAGGAGGGUAUAGAACUUACUGGUGAUAAUACAAUAAAGUCAGAUUCAUCUAGUGACUCUUGCCUUCCGGAAACACAGGUAGAUCAGCAACACACUUCAGCCUUUGAAAUAAACACCUUUUUCGUGUUGCUUGAGUUCAAUGAGUUUGCCACGCCUAAUAUUCCAGGCCGAAUCAUGUACUUAAUCAGACACAACACAAGCAUGGAAACUGUUUCGUAUUAUAACUAUACCAAGGGAGAAGAGACAUCGAAAAGUUCAUUAGUAAACCAAGAACAAGAAUUGACCCAAAAAGGGAAAGAUUUGGAUCAGCAGCUCGAGAAGCAGUUUCUGCUUCAAAAAUCUACAAUAAAAAGUGUAUUAUUGGUAAAAUUUCAUUAAAUUCUCAAAGAAAAGGUGCUAAAGUGCAAUUGUGAAAUUUGAAGUAGUUGAGUGAGUAAUAUCCCGUGCUCUAGAGGUCCAAAUGGCGAGCUGUCUCAAGGCUAACUGAUACUAUAAUGGGCCCAGCCAAGUCUCCAACAGCACAGCCCGUUAUGAUGCCAUUGUAAGGCAGUUAAAACUUAUACGCAAAUUUGGGAUGUUAGUAACUGGUAACUAUUUGCUAUAAACUACAAAGAGCAGAAGACACAUAUAGGUGACUAACUUACCAACCCACUGACCCAUUGAAGGACGGAUAAGAGUGGCACGAAUCCCUGCUCCAAAGGAAGCAAAAAUCAAUGAAGCUCCACACCUGAUUGUAAUACCAGAAAUCUUCUUUACAAGAAGUUUAGCUUGCUCUGUAAUGUUGACCCCAUCACUCUGUCCAGAGUUCGUUAUGCGAGAAAAGCAUCGGUAGAUUUCAAUACCAGAUUGGACAAGCCAUGCUGCCGCAACUCCAAGAAAAUGACCUGAAUAAACAUCAGGCAGAAGAAAGAGAUGUUACGAAGCUAAAGCAACGAUUUAACAAUAUAACAGAGGCAUAUGAUAAUGGUUUUGACCUCUCAAAGUUGUUCUGCUAACUCUGAAGAAGUAUACUGUAGUAGGCAUUCCCCUUUAGGACUUCCAGACAGAUGAUUUCGGAACAUCUGCAUAUGUUGAUCAAACUCAUCAGCAGCUAAUAAUAAUAACCAUAAAGCAACAAGAUUUUGAUUAAUAAGAGUAAGGGCAUUAUUUUCCCAAUUACAUUCAAGCAGGCAAGUUAUAGUAGAGCCACCACCAUAACUUUGUAGAAUGAUGGACAAGAAGUACUUUUAAGGAGUUUCCACGCCAUGCGUUGUGAAACAUAAAGGACAGCAAGUCUUUCAAGGACCCGUCUUGUAGUUACAACAGUAGUCUGAGUAGGCCUAAAACACAAUACUGUUAAGCUGGUCCUUAAACAGUAAAGGAUUGUCUCAAUUGCAGGGCAAUGUUAUUCGUUGAUUAUUGUCACGGUUAUUCGUUCUUGCAAUAUUCAGUUACUUUCCACAAGAAAAAUCUUAGCCUAACCUAAAACCUGAGGGAUUAAUUUACUCAUCUUUCUCCCUUUUAAUGACAGAUUUGUAAUGCUCUCAUGGAACGUACUCGAUCAUCAUUUGAUGUAAGUCUUGACUUUCUCUUGCUGCUGAGUUAGGAUAUGAUCCGUGAUCGGAUACCAUGAUGCAACAAGAAAAGGAUUUUGGUUAUUUGUUUUUGACAAUUGCAACAAUCUCACUGUCCUCAGUCGAAAGCAAUCUAGUUCUUUACCAGUUCUGUCAGGAUCAUGAAAGUAUUGACUAGUUCGAAGAAAUGGGGUGCUUCAAUUAUUCUACUUCCGUUGUCCUUGAACUGGCGAUUGACAUGUUCUGGCUUGAUCAAAUCCCUGUGUUUUGGUGGGUUCACACAUCUUUGUCCUGAACCAAGGGCUUUGAAAGUGUGAACCUUGGGUGUGAACGGUGAAAGUCUACCCACGCCCGUCAGCCAUGGACCCAACUUCACGACGAAGCCAGUCUUGAAAGUGGAUCCCACUUUGAUGUUUCUUUCAGACUUUCACGACAUGUUUACGGUCCUUUCUAGUUUCUACCUAGGUGCCAAAUAUUAGGACCAUAAUAGCUAGCUUAGCAGUAACGCAAAUCAGAAACUCCAUGGAUAACUUGUCUUUGAGAAUCUGACCUUUAGAUGUGCAUUCAGGAUUAAGAUCUAAUGGGAGAUUCUCAUUCCAUGACAUUUUUAUAAUUCUCUUUGUUUCAAAUUGCAUGUUGGUCUUAUUAUUAUUAUUGUGUUGUUUCACUAGGCAUUAUUCAUAAGUCCUGGUAGAUAUGGUUAUUAACUUAUAAUUUAACUCAUUAAAUCUUAUAUUGUUUGUCUUUUGUUGUUGUUAUUCAAAUAUUUAAUUUCAUAAAAGAUUUGACCAUGAAAUAAAUUAAAAGAAGUAUCUAAUAUUUUUUCACCGACACUUUCAUCCAUAUAUUUUUUUAUCAAUACAUUUCACUUUCAAAGAGUAAAUAUAAACUUCACUUUCAUGUUUUUGGGUUUCAAUUUAUUUUAUGUGAUGUCAUGUAAUUUUUUAAUUUUUUUUUAAAAAAUACAAAAUAUUAUCUGAAAAAUGUUAAUAUAGGAACCGUGUAAGUAGAAUUUACUUUGCCUUUUUUUUUUUUACAUAUAACGUAUUAAUCUAAAGAAGCCAAAAAAAUGUCAUCUACCUAGGUUCCAUCAUGGGCAAAUCAUUAAAUCAGUGAAGGUAAUUGAAUGAACAGAUCAAGUUUGUCUGUCUUUUUUUUUUUUCCUUUUUUUGUUUUGUUUGUAGUACUACACUUGUAAUAUCAACCUCCAUUUCGGCAUUUCCUGGUACUUCCUUAUGCUUUUGUAGUACAGACAACGACAAAAACCAUCUUCUCUCUGUCCAUAUAAUCCAUGUAUGUAUCAUGUAAGAACUUCACAUUCUUUCAAUGAAACUCUCACGCUUUCUCUUCUUCCUCCUUCUCUCCCUCUCUCUUUUCCUCUCUGCCACCUCCCAUGGGGGCAGUGAUGAUGAUGACAAGGGUGCAGGUGAAAGCAAUGAGCCUCCUCAUAGCCUACGUUCCAAAUCCUUGGUCUUGGUCAAGAUAUGGUGCUUGAUUCUUGUGUUUGUAGGGACCUUCAUCGGUGGGGUGUCACCAUAUUUCCUGAAAUGGAACCAGGGUUUUCUGGUAUUGGGAACUCAGUUUGCUGGCGGGGUUUUCCUGGGGACUGCCAUGAUGCAUUUCUUGAGUGAUGCCAAUGAAACUUUUGAGGAUUUGACGAGU
rnacentral:lncRNA from 1 species